UACGUAGGGUGCGAGCGUUAAUCGGAAUUACUGGGCGUAAAGCGUGCGCAGGCGGUUUUGUAAGCCAGGUGUGAAAUCCCCGGGCUUAACCUGGGAAUGGCAUUUGGGACUGCAAGGCUGGAGUGUGGCAGAGGAGACUGGAAUUCCUGGUGUAGCAGUGAAAUGCGUAGAUAUCAGGAGGAAUACCGGUGGCGAAGGCGGCAUUCUGGACUGUAACUGACACUGAGGAACGAAAGCCAGGGGAGCAAACGGG
rnacentral:rRNA from 1 species